CACAUGGCGCGGGAAGCGAACCCGGGCCGCUCGCGUGGCACGCAAGCAUUCUACCACUGAACGACGU